GAUGAAGAACGCAGCGAAAUGCGAUAAGUAAUGUGAAUUGCAGAAUUCAGUGAAUCAUCGAAUCUUUGAACGCACAUUGCGCCCGCCAGUAUUCUGGCGGGCAUGCCUGUUCGAGCGUCAUUUCAACCAUCAAGCCCCAGGCUUGUGUUGGGGACCUGCGGCUGCCGCAGGCCCUGAAAACCAGUGGCGGGCUCGCUGUCACACCUGGCGUAGUAGAUUUUAUCUCGCUCAGGGCGUGCUGCGGGUUCCGGCCGUUAAAAAGCCUUUUUUACCCAAGGUUGACCUCGGAUCAGGUAGGAAGACCCGCUGAACUUAAGCAUAUCAAUAAGCGGAGGA
rnacentral:misc_RNA from 1 species